CUAGUCCAAGGCAGACAAUCCCUCUCGCCCUAGGAAGGCCCCACCCCUUGGUAGAGGAGGAGGCUUCAACUUCCGGGUUCCUUCCUGCAUCCUGUUGUCCAGAUCUGGGUCCCGGAAGGACACCACGUCCACUUCCUGCCAACGCGGGGUGCUUGGGGUUGCCCGGUGCCUAGACCCUGCUCAGUAAGGAGCACGCGGCACCCACCAGCUUCACCCAGUUAGAAGAGCAAGAGCCAUGGGUUCCCAGAAGGCUUUUUUUUUUUAAGUCAUCACACAUCUUCAGGGGAAAAAAAUCCCCUACAGUUUCUGGAAGCACACUUGGGAGGCUGAAGCAGAGGAUCGUUGUGAGUUCGAGAUCAGCUGGGCUAUGAAGUGUGCUCAAGGCCAGCCUGAACUGCAUAGUGAGACCUUGUCUCAAAAAGAUGAAGAAAACAAAAUUCUUUACCCAUGGUGUACAGGAGACCCACAUCACUACACAAUUUCGCUGGGGAAGGAGCCCAGGCCCUCAAGGGUGUCAAGCAACCGCUCAUCACAGAGCCUGGGGCCUGGUCAGCUUUGAAUCUUCUGCAGGAUGGAGAGAGACCAUCUGAAUUGCUUGGAGCCUGCCUUCUAGGAUAGAUCCACCUUCAUCUUUUUUUUUUUUUUUUCUUUUUUCCAGUAUCGGGAAUCGAAUUCACGGCUACCUGCUUACAAGGCAGGUACUUAUGCUGCGGGGCUAAAUCCCCAUCCCCUGAUAGAUCCACCUUUUGAGCUGAACUUUCAUCCAGCUCUAGGAUAUCCGAUCUGAAUACAAAAAGCAGCAGUAACCAAGUCAACCGUACCUACUCAGUAAGGCUCCAGGACAGUUACCAUGUGUGUCAUCAGUGAUGGUGUCUAGAUCUUCCAUACACCCACCAAGGGACUGGGGUGCCCAGGCAGUUCCUGCAAAGGCCAGGAAAGAUCAGAAUCUUCACCACCUAAAGGAGAAAUAGAGUCGAGCUACUCACAGACAAAGCCACCCCUCUUUCCCUCCUCCCAGGCCCCAGAGCCUAAAGCCUCUGGCUCUGAGCUCCUCUCACCAGGCCCCACUCCCACAGUGUCAGUCCGUCUUUGAUAUUGCCGCUUCUUCCAAAAGUGCUGCUCAAGUCUUUGCUCAGGACACCAAGAACCUGGAGAAGAUCCUCAUCUGGACCACGGAUGCUGUUGCACACCUGUAAUCCUAGUACUCUGGAGGCUGAGGCAGGAGGAAUAUAGCCAGUUGGAGGCCAGCCUGGGCUCUAUGAGGAAUACAUCCUGGCUAAACCAAACCAGGGCUCAGGUUUUAGCUCAGCAGCACAAGCACCUGCCUGGUAAGUGCAAAGUCAUGAGUUUGAUCCCCAGUACCGAAAAAACCCAAGCCAAACCAGGCCAAACCAAAAAGUCCUUGAUCUGACCACAUCAGCUUUGCUCUUCUAGACUCAUAAGACAUUGGUCCCCUCAGUCUGAUCAGCAGUCAGCCUGGGUCUGGAAUGAGCUGCAGUUUCACAGAAUCCCUGGUUGGUUUGAGUCCUCUUUGUCAGGCGUCAUCCUACUGCCUUCUGAAGGAGCUCCUGGAAGAACUCUGCCUCCCCAACUGUAAACUGACAGGUUUGCUCUGCCUGUUAGAAGUUUCUAGCUUAACCCUUGCCUCCUUUCCAGGGGGGCUCCAGACUCUGCAAGGGUCCUGGGUGCAAGGCAAGACCUUUUCCGGUCUGCCUUUGAGACCACCCCAAAGCCUGCCGCUUGCCUUUCCCUCUUGACAGUCCCUGGCCUGGGCUAAGCUUUUGUGUCCAGACUUGGGAAAUACCACUGGAGAAGAAAUCUGGCCAGUGCCUCUCAUUCCAGAACGGCUCUUUCCUUCUCAGUGUGGGAGACUGAACACAGGGCCUUGGGUCUCCUACAUGAUAGGUAAGCACCGUACCACUGUACCCCAGCCCCGGUGGGAUUUUAGCUCAUGUCUUCGUCAUUGCAUUCACAGAUCUCUGCUGUCUUUAAAGAGAUUUUUGCAACUUAGCAAAAAACAUUUUUUUCCCCAAUGUCCUUAAAAAUAUUUGUAUAUCGGGGCUGGGGAUUUAGCUCAGCGGCAUAAGCACCUGCCUUGAAAGCAGGCAGUCGAGAGUUCAAUCCCUGGUACCGAUAAAAAGGAAAAAGACAAAAAAAAAAAAAAAAAUUUGUAUAUCCUAGUUAGAAACAGAAGUGUUAGCUUGGGACUACAGGUUAGGGGCAGAGCACUUGCCUAGCAUGCUUAAGAGAUUGGAGUUUUUGUUUCUUUUUUUUUUUUUAACAGUAAUAGGUAUCACAGUAUAUUUCGUUAUCUUUACAAUAGUUGUUCUCUCAAUCACGUAUAUCAAAAUAAAAUGAAAUACAGAACAUUAUAGAAGUUAUCAAAACAGAAUAUUGAAUAGAGCACUACCAUUAAUCAGAAUAAAGCAAAACAGUAGUAAAAAUAUUUGCCUUCAAAGAGAUGGUAGAAGGAAAUCCCCCUUAUUUGCUAUGGUCGACCUCCCAGGAGAUGCUCAGAUUUCUGGCUCCCAUUUGUUAAUGGAGGACAGGGGAAGGUGGGUUGGGGAAGUGGGAUGUUUGACUCUAGGCCAUGCACCAGUGGGUUCACUAUUACUUAGCAGGGAGGCAGGUGGGUUGCUUGGUUUCCCAGGGUCCUAAGUUCCAACAUGGCAUGGAUCAUAGGAGACACUGGUGAUUCUCCCCCUGGAAGGGCCGCAGUCUGCCUCAUUUUGUUUUUUGAGAUAGGGUCGCCCUAUGUAGCCCAGGCUGGCCUUGAACUUGAGGUGAUCUCCCUGACUCAGCUGCCUGUGCACCAGGGUUACAGGCCUGUGCUGCCAUUCUUGGCUAUGGGACUGGAUUUGAUUCUCAGAAUUAGAAAAAAAAAAAAAAAAAUUCAGGGGUGAUUCCGGGCCUGCCCCGUGUUAGCAGCUGUGGUACUGGGAACACUGGCCUGCGCUUCCAUUUGUCCUUCUGCCCUUCUGCUGGCUUGCAGAUUGCUCUCCUCACACGGGUAUGAAGGCCACCAGCACUUUGAGCCCACAUCAGUCCCAUCGGUGACUCCAGUCAAGCCUUCUCCUCGCCAACACCUUCAGUCAGCUGGAUGUGUGAGUCUUGCUGACUUGAUGGGGUUACCUGGGCACCUGGGACCCAGCACCGUGCUUAGGGGACAUGUCCUGUUGGCUUGAUCUGGGCAUCCAGCUGCCCUUUCAGCUGAUCACUGCUUUGCUGCUUUCCCACCCCCAGAGGAACUAGACAGCCUCUUUCCAAAGGGCUCCAGCAAAAAGUCCAAAGGAUAACAAACAGUCAAGGCAGGAGGCAGGCAUGGCAGCCAGCGCACGCCUGUAAUCCCAGCACAGGGAGGCUGAGGCAGGAGGACUGUUGGGAGUUUGAGACCAGCCUGGGCUACAAAGUGAGCUCAAGGCCCCCUGAACUGCACAGUGAGACCCUGUCUCAAAAACACAUGGAGAGUUGAGGUAGGGAGACGGGGUACAAAGCUCUUGACUGAAUUGGACCAGGAGGGGCAGGAGCUGCCAGGUGUGGCCUGCCUUAGGAUUCUUGAUGACUUUUCCCAAAGGGAUGCUUAGAUGCUUCCUCCUUGGUCGCCUGCACCUGCAGCUGCUGGAGUUAGCAUAUUAAAAAGCCAGGAUAUGGAGGGACAUUUGAAUUUCAAUAUGUACUGAGUACAUUUGUAACAUCAGCAUGUCCAGCGCACACUCCACUCAGUGUGUGUCAAGUACCCCUGCCCAGCCCCACUGGGUAAGGUGCUAACUCCGCAGUGUGGGGACAAAGCCACCAGUGUAAUUGUCUGGUCUAGAACGGUCCCGCAGAAACGAUGGCUGCCGUCAGGGGCCCUCCUGGGAGGUGCUGCCACCUUUGGAGGUGGGGCCUCCUUACAGGAAGCAGGUCAGGGCGGGGCAGUGCCCUUGGAGGGGUCAAGGAGAGCUUCCCCUCCCCCCACUUCUGUGUCUGGCCUCUGUGAGCAGCUUUGUGUCUCCACCAUGAUGCUUGGCCUCACCCCAGGCCCAGAAGCUGUGCACCCAGUGACCUUGGCCCAAGAACUCUGGAACUCCAAUAAAUCUUUCUUCCUCUCUUAA